GAUGAACGCUAGCUACAGGCUUAACACAUGCAAGUCGAGGGGAAACGGCAUCGAAAGCUUGCUUUUGAUGGGCGUCGACCGGCGCACGGGUGAGUAACGCGUAUCCAACCUGCCCAUCACUUGGGAAUAACCUUGCGAAAGUAAGACUAAUGCCCAAUGACAUCCCACGAAGGCAUCCGAAUGGGAUUAAAGAUUUAUCGGUGAUGGAUGGGGAUGCGUCUGAUUAGCUUGUUGGCGGGGUGACGGCCCACCAAGGCAACGAUCAGUAGGGGUUCUGAGAGGAAGGUCCCCCACAUUGGAACUGAGACACGGUCCAAACUCCUACGGGAGGCAGCAGUGAGGAAUAUUGGUCAAUGGGCGAGAGCCUGAACCAGCCAAGUAGCGUGCAGGAUGACGGCCCUAUGGGUUGUAAACUGCUUUUAGAAGGGAAUAAAGUGGGUCACGUGUGACUUUUUGCAUGUACCUUAUGAAUAAGGACCGGCUAAUUCCGUG
rnacentral:rRNA from 1 species